GUCCAGGGUAGCCUAGUGAACAUGGUAUCUGCCCGGUAAGCGGAACACUGUGGGUUCGAUUCCCAUCCCUGUACA
rnacentral:tRNA from 1 species